rnacentral:rRNA from 1 species
AACGAACGCUGGCGGCAGGCUUAACACAUGCAAGUCGAGCGGGCGUAGCAAUACGUCAGCGGCAGACGGGUGAGUAACGCGUGGGAACGUACCUUUUGGUUCGGAACAACACAGGGAAACUUGCGCUAAUACCGGAUAAGCCCUUACGGGGAAAGAUUUAUCGCCGAAAGAUCGGCCCGCGUCUGAUUAGCUAGUUGGUGAGGUAACGGCUCACCAAGGCGACGAUCAGUAGCUGGUCUGAGAGGAUGAUCAGCCACAUUGGGACUGAGACACGGCCCAAACUCCUACGGGAGGCAGCAGUGGGAAUAUUGGACAAUGGGGGAAACCCUGAUCCAGCGACGCCGCGUGGGUGAAGAAGGCCUGCGGGUUGUAAAGCCCUUUCAGUGGGAAGAAAAGCCUCGACCUAAUACGUCGGGGGUCUUGACGUAACCCAUAGAAGAAGCACCGGCUAACUCUGUGCCAGCCGCCGCCGUAAC